CCUACGGGUGGCAGCAGUGAGGAAUAUUGGUCAAUGGGCGCGAGCCUGAACCAGCCAAGUAGCGUGAAGGAUGACUGCCCUACGGGUUGUAAACUUCUUUUAUAAAGGAAUAAAGUGAGGCACGUGUGCCUUUUUGUAUGUACUUUAUGAAUAAGGAUCGGCUAACUCCGUGCCAUCAGCCGCGGUAAUACGGGGGAUCCGAGCGUUAUCCGGAUUUAUUGGGUUUAAAGGGAGCGGAGAUUGGUUGUUAAGUCAGUUGUGAAAGUUUGCGGCUCAACCGUAAAAUUGCAAUUGAUACUGGCAGUCUUGAGUACAGUUGAGGUAGGCGGAAUUCGUGGUGUAGCGGUGAAAUGCUUAGAUAUCACGAAGAACUCCGAUUGCGAAGGCAGCUUACUAAACUGCCACUGACAUUGAUGCUCGAAAGUGUGGGUAUCAAACAGGAUUAGAUACCCUUGUAGUC
rnacentral:rRNA from 1 species